AAUGUUUUCCUCAGAAACCUUCAUUUCUUUUCGACUGAAGAAAGAAAGACAUAAACAUCUUGGAUGACAUGGGGGUGAGGAAAUUAUCAGGAAAUUUUAAUUCUAAAGUGAACUAAUCCUUUAAUCGAAAACCCUGAUAUCUCCACGCAGGCAGUGAAUGUUUAUCUGGGUGUUUAUGGAUGAUCAUUUGGCCUUUGACACACCCUUGCAUUUCUCUUACAUUCCUGUGACUCUUUUUUUCCCCUUCUGUCUUUUCACCCCAUAAUUAGUUUCUUUCUCUCUGUCUCUCUCACUCUGUCACUUCCGCUCCCAAGUUAGUCUCAUAACAGCAUUGUUCAAUCAUUUUUUCCCCAAAAAUUUAUGUUGUUCUCAGUCUCCCACAAUCCCAAUUUCCCCUUCUCUUCCUCCCUCCUUCCUCUCUUUGUAUGAGUGCACUCUUUCUUUUACCUUCUUUCUCUUUGUGCACAGUCAAAAGAAAACAGCUCCAUGGCAACGGCUUGGACUGAAACCUGAGCUCAGUGAUAAGGCGAGAGAGGAGAGAAGUGACGUUAAUACAUUGAUUGACACCUGAGAGGCCGAUUAGGGUGAAACCACUGACUCAGUGUCUGACUGUCAUCGGUAUAUCUGCCUGUCACACAUCUGCACUUAAAAUAUGUCACACCCAAAGUACAAGUGACGUUUGAUGACGACUUCCAAUGCCCGAAAACGCAUUUAGAGACUGCAAAGUGUGAGAAAGGAAACAGAGAGAAAGUACCUGCGCUCAGCAACUGAACAAACCAAGCGCAGAGAGAUCUCACGUACCACACAGGUGUUGAAUUACAUGCAUGCAUCAGUACUCAUGCAGGCAGAGCACAUUACCACAAACAAAGGAGUGCUACAAUACUGAAGCAACAUUUGUUAGAAAUCUGAAAAUAAAUCUGGGAGUGAAAGUGGUUUGUGGUUUUAUGAUGGGGGUUUGGAGGAAUCUGGAACAUUUGCUGUCAGCAUGUAUCAAUAGCAGCUGUACCGUCACUGUCAACAGUUAUCACAUCCCAUCUCACACUUGGUUUAGUGACUGGUAUCUCUUUCUCUUGCUUUCUCUCGGGUUCACUCUCUCUCUUGUCUUUCUCUUUCACGGUGGUGUAGUGCACCAUUCAGAAUUGCAGAAAUGCAUCAAUUUGAGUUCCUCAUUUUGAAUUAAAGGCAGUAAACUGGAUGCAUAAUUUUAAAUCUGAACUGAA